AGCUCCAAUAGCGUAUAUUAAAGUUGUUGCGGUUAAAAAGCUCGUAGUUGGAUCUCGGCAGGUAGGGGGCGGUUCGUUUCUGACGGCACUGCCCCAUUUACCUGUGUUUUUGACGGAGGUUUCACGGUGAUUUUCAUCGAUUGUCGUGAUACGCCGUCAGGUUUACUUUGAAAAAAUUAGAGUGCUCAAAGCAGGCUACAAGCUUGAAUAUUUGUGCAUGGAAUAAUGGAAUAGGAAGUCGUUUCUAUUUUUUUGGUUUUCGGAAAUUGACUUAAUGAUUAAUAGGGACAGCCGGGGGCAUUCGUACUCAGACGACAGAGGUGAAAUUCUUGGACCGUCUGAGGACGAGCUACUGCGAAAGCAUUUGCCAAGAGUGUUU
rnacentral:rRNA from 1 species